UACGAAGGGGGCGAGCGUUGUUCGGAUUUACUGGGCGUAAAGAGCGCGCAGGCGGUCGUUCAAGUCGAGUGUGAAAGCCCCCGGCUCAACUGGGGAGGGUCACUCGAUACUGAUCGACUUGAAGGCAGGAGAGGGAAGCGGAAUUCCCGGUGUAGUGGUGAAAUGCGUAGAUAUCGGGAGGAACACCAGUGGCGAAGGCGGCUUCCUGGCCUGUUCUUGACGCUGAGGCGCGAAAGCUAGGGGAGCAAACAGG
rnacentral:rRNA from 1 species